GAUGAACGCUGGCGGCGUGCUUAACACAUGCAAGUCGAACGAAGCACCUCUCCCGAAGAUUGACACAGCUUGCUGUAGAUUGAUUCAUUUGAGGUGACUGAGUGGCGGACGGGUGAGUAACGCGUGGGUAACCUGCCUCAUAGAGGGGGACAACAGUUGGAAACGACUGCUAAUACCGCAUAGUAAGACGAAUUCGCAUGUUUUCUUCUUGAAAGAUUUAUCGCUAUGAGAUGGACCCGCGUCUGAUUAGCUAGUUGGUAAGGUAACGGCUUACCAAGGCGACGAUCAGUAGCCGGCUUGAGAGAGUGAACGGCCACAUUGGGACUGAGACACGGCCCAAACUCCUACGGGAAGCAGCAGUGGGGAAUAUUGCACAAUGGGGGAAACCCUGAUGCAGCGACGCCGCGUGAGUGAAGAAGUAUUUCGGUAUGUAAAGCUCUAUCAGCAGGGAAGAUAAUGACGGUACCUGACUAAGAAGCCCCGGCUAACUACGUG
rnacentral:rRNA from 1 species